AACAUGGCGCAGUGGUUAGCGUGUUGGGCUCAUAACCCAGAGGUCCUAGGUUCGAGACCUUGUGUUG
rnacentral:tRNA from 1 species